ACUCCUACGGGAGGCAGCAGUGGGGAAUAUUGCACAAUGGGGGAAACCCUGAUGCAGCCAUGCCGCGUGUGUGAAGAAGGCCUUCGGGUUGUAAAGCACUUUCAGUAGGGAGGAAGGUAGUGUAGUUAACACCUGCACUAUUUGACGUUACCUACAGAAGAAGCACCGGCUAACUCCGUGCCAGCAGCCGCGGUAAUACGGAGGGUGCGAGCGUUAAUCGGAAUUACUGGGCGUAAAGCGCAUGCAGGCGGCCUGUUAAGUCAGAUGUGAAAGCCCGGGGCUUAACCUCGGAAUUGCAUUUGAAACUGGCAGGCUAGAGUCUUGUAGAGGGGGGUAGAAUUUCAGGUGUAGCGGUGAAAUGCGUAGAGAUCUGAAGGAAUACCAGUGGCGAAAGGCGGCCCCCUGGACAAAGACUGACGACUCAGAUGCG
rnacentral:rRNA from 1 species